rnacentral:rRNA from 1 species
UACGGAGGUGGCAAGCGUUGUUCGGAAUUACUGGGCGUAAAGGGCGUGUAGGCGGCCUUCUAAGUCAGACGUGAAAUCCCCCGGCUUAACCUGGGAACUGCGUCUGAUACUGGGAGGCUUGAGUAUGGGAGAGGGAUGUAGAAUUCCAGGUGUAGCGGUGAAAUGCGUAGAUAUCUGGAGGAAUACCGGUGGCGAAGGCGGCAUCCUGGACCAUUACUGACGCUGAGGCGCGAAAGCUAGGGGAGCAAACAGG